UGAUCUUCUUCUCUCUUCUAAUCCCUCACACCCAACAUAAAAUCCACCUCAAAACCCAAAAAUCACUACAAAAAAAAGCAACAGAGGAAGAGAGUCUCUUCUCCAUUACUUUUCCAUUUCCAGAAGCCUUUAUCAACAUCAGUCUCUCUCCUUCGCCGACAUCAACAACAUCCCCAUCACUCAUAACUUGCUUCAGUUCUAUCUCAAAAACCGAAAUCAGUCGGUAAUAAUAGAGAAGUGAACAAUAAUUUGGUCUUCUAUGUGUGAAAGGUUAUGUGAAAUUUGGACAUAACAGAGAAGACAAUGGAGUAGUGCAUCAUGAGUGGGCCUCCGCGGCUCAGUGAGUUCAUUAGCUUUUGAACAACCAUUCGAUUAGCUUUGGAAAAAGUUGAAGAAGGCAGAGGACCUUGGUUUACAGUUAAACAGAGCCAUAGACCUCCGUGAGAAUAACAGUCAUAUACCAUAGGAUGAGAAAGGAAGAUUUACAAGCAGCAGCAGAUGGAAGGUCAGAAAAAUUGAAGAAGAGCUGUUAGUGGUAGUAGCAAAGAUCAUAUUGUCAGUAUUGGUGGGUGGGUUUCUGCUGGUGUCCUCACAUCUCUAUGAGCAACUGAUAUUGAGGCCUAAAGGGCUAAGAUCAAAGCUCCAAAAGCAAGAAAUUAGAGGGCGUCCUCCUUCAUUCCUCUUGGGGAAUAUCCUUGCAUAACGCCUUCAACGCAAGGUCCACUCAACAGCAACAAAGACUACAGAUCCUUGAAAGCCUCAGCAUGAUGAUAGUCAUGUACCUUCUAUUUGUCACCAAUGAUCUUCAAAAAUCUUCCCCCACAGAGGAAUGAAGAAGUGAAUAUGAAAUGCAUAUGAGUUCAGAAAAGUAUUCCAGUACUGAAGUAGAUGUUGAGACCUUUCAGCUCUUGCUCAAGCAUGAAAAACUUUCGUGCAUCAGCCCAGGUGAACUAAGAAAAUUACUUUCAACUCAUACGUCAUAUAACCUACAUAUUUCUUUAAUUUGUUUCUUUUCAAAAUUUAAAUGCUCUAGGUCCUGUCUGUAUUGGCCUUUUCCACAAAAAAGGGGAAUCCUUUGUUACAAUAGAAGGGUGGUUGUAUGCAUUUAUUGUUUUUUGGGUUUGAUUUGAUGGCUCUCUGUCUUUGCUUUGUUUCACAUGUCAGUAUGUCACACAGUUUCCACUUCUCUCGGGGCUGUGGAGGCUUUACAUUUUUUUGUUUUGUUUUGGAGCUCUACUUUGAAUAUGCAGAAACAUAUAAUCCAACUGCUUGAUUUUCUGAAUGGAGUUGGAGAAAAUCAUGCAGUUGGAGACAUUCGAGGAAGGCACAAAAUUCUACUGUAGAAUCACAAUCACCCUCAGUGCCCACAACAAUGUAGCUGCUAGCAGCGGUGAAGAGUUCUUGGACAAUUGAAGAAGCUGAGAAGGGAAACUUGAUGUAUAAGCUGAAGUGUUCUUCAACUUUUGCGUACUUCAUAUCUGGUAGGACGCAAUUGCCACUCUACAAAGCAUGAAGGUGACGACCUUUCAGGUCAAUACACAAAUGACCCGUGGGGUUGUACGAAAUGUUAACCGAACAUGUGAAAGAUCAGUUUGAAAAUAAGAACUUCAUUAAUUAAUUACUAUUAGUUGUUAAUUCA